rnacentral:rRNA from 1 species
GACGAACGCUGGCGGCGUGCCUAAUACAUGCAAGUUGAGCGCUGAAGGUUGGUACUUGUACCAACUGGAUGAGCAGCGAACGGGUGAGUAACGCGUGGGGAACCUGCCUUUGAGCGGGGGACAACAUUUGGAAACGAAUGCUAAUACCGCAUAAAAACUUUAAACACAAGUUUUAAGUUUGAAAGAUGCAAUUGCAUCACUCAAAGAUGAUCCCGCGUUGUAUUAGCUAGUUGGUGAGGUAAAGGCUCACCAAGGCGAUGAUACAUAGCCGACCUGAGAGGGUGAUCGGCCACAUUGGGACUGAGACACGGCCCAAACUCCUACGGGAGGCAGCAGUAGGGAAUCUUCGGCAAUAGACGAAAGUCUGACCGAGCAACGCCGCGUGAGUGAAGAAGGUUUUCGGAUCGUAAAACUCUGUUGGUAGAGAAGAACGUUGGUGAGAGUGGAAAGCUCAUCAAGUGACGGUAACUACCCAGAAAGGGACGGCUAACUACGUG